ACUACAGUUCAGUGACUCAAGUUUAAAAUGCAUAAGCUUAAGGUCAUAACAGAAUUUAAACUUACUAUCAUAUUUGUAUAAACAUCAUGAUGAAUAUUUACAUUCUCUAAAAGAGUUUUAAUUUUACUUAACUAAUACAGAAGAUGAUGGAUUCCCCAACAGAAAUCUUGAUGACGGAUCAAGGUGAAAAAAUUGAAGAAUUGCAUCAAUAGUUACAGAGAAUCGAUUUGCACGCAGAAACAGGUGCUCAAAGAUAAGGGAAUACAACAGCCAUCCAUGCUCCUUCCAUGUAAAGUAAGCAGCUUUCCCUGAUGCUUAUAGGCAUACACGAUCUAGUCUGGGCAUGUGAAACAGCAGCUGGUUCUAUUUUGAAAAUCUACAAAAUAGAGCUAAGGUCCUUUAAGCCAGGAAACUGCUAGUAUCUGAAGAGGACAAUUUAAGACAGGCCAUGAAAAUUGAUUAAAUGUCAAGUGGGAACAGUGAUUUUGUAAAUAAACUCGCCUGAUCACAAAACUUCAGGUUUGACUGUCACAAGAUUUUAAAUCUUACAUGGAUAGACUAAAGUCAUUUACUAGACUGUAAAUACUAGAGACAGCUGAAUGCACAAGGCAAAAAGCUGAGGUCUAAGUGAAUCAGAGAGGCCUUGUCACAAGAAAUGUACAGAACUUGCAUGGUUUUUUUUCCUUAAGGGCAUAUGACAAAAAAAUUGAGAGAUGUCAAUGAAAAUUUCUUUGAAUUUAAAAAAGGGCCAAUUCAAAGGUACACUUUUGGAAUUUGCAAGAACAAAAAUACCUUCAUGUUUACUUUUGAAUUAUAGUUGACAAUCUUCACUUUGAGGGGAACCUCUGAAAAUAAGUCAAAUGGAGGGGUUUGCCAGGUUUAUUGAAAUCGAUUAUUUUUUAAAGUAAAACAGAUGAAUUAUUGCUCUUUAAUUUCAACAUUUGCAUUUUACUAUAAAUAUUAUUUACAAGUGCAGCAUAUCGGUGACAUCAGAUUAUGGUAUUGUGUUUGGUUAAGCUACAUAUUUCUUUUUACAUAAACUUUCUGUUGCCUUUACUGGUUAAUAAAAUGCUGAAUAAUAAUUUGAGUGUGGCUCAUUUCAGUGUCCAGUAUUUGCUGUCAAUUUUUGUGAUGAUUUUACCAUAUCAUUUAUAAUGGCUUGGCCAAAGGGAGAUAACUUUUUAUAUUUUCACAUUAAAAUGCUGAAUAAUAAUUUGAGUGUGGCUCAUUUCAGUGUCUAGUAUUUGCUGUCACUUUUUUCCUGUAAAAUUUCACCAUAUUAUUUAUAAUCGCUUGGUCAAAGGGAGAUAACUUUUUAUAUUUUCACAUUAAAUCAUCUGCGAAGAGGAUUAUGUAAAAUGUGAAUUUUAUGGUUCAAUAAAAGCAAAAUAAGUUACUGCCAUUCAUUAUCAAUCAAUUUCAAUAAAAAAUAAGGCUCAAAGAACUUUUUAUAUUACUUAUAUUAACAAUAACAAUGUACACAUGUGUUGACGUGUUAAUACACAACAUCAGAGUGGGUGUGUCACCAUAAAAUGUAAACAUUGUAAAUAAAACUGAUACUUUUAACUAAUCAGGAAACAGUUAAUACACCACAUAUAUUUUUAAACCUAUAAACUUAUUAUUUUCUUCAAUUGUUUAAGUUCAUUCAGUAUUGAUAAAUUUUUGAUUGACAUUACAUAAUAUUGUUAAUAAAAGUUUAUUUGUGUGCUAUUUUAUUUAAUUGUACAUAUUUGAAAUAUAACAUUACACCUUAUUAUUUUUAUUCUUGCAUACAGCACUUGGAAUGAAAUCUCAUACCAUUUUAAUUAAAAUGUUCCAGCAGCAGGAUUGUUUUUGAAUUUAGCAAUUAUGUUAAUUAUGUAAAUAACGUAAUGUUUUUUGUUUUUUGCUUUUUGAAGUUUUUAAAAUUGACAAAUAAUGCUAGCAAGGGACAUUAUUAUUAAUUUUUUUUUAUGAUGCCAAACUUGAAAUUUUAAAGUGGCUAUGUUUGCUAUUUGUUAUAACCCUAUUGUUAUGAUUCUUAAACCAUCUAUACAAGUAAGCAUUUUGAUUUGUCACUUACCAUUAUUUUAUUGAUUAGUUUGAAUUUGAUGAGGUUCUUGAUGUAGAACUGGACUUAUUUAAACAAAAAAUGUUUUUUUUUAAUUGUUUGAUAGUAAAAUUGUAUUUCAAACAUUUGACAUUUUAUUUAAUUUAUCAUCAAAACAACUCUUAUUUGUCA